rnacentral:lncRNA from 10 species
UGAGGCAGGAGAAUUGCUUGAACCCAGGAGGCGGAGGCUGCAGUGAGCUGAUGAUCGCGCCAUGGCACUCCAGCCUGGGCAACAGAGCAAGACUAAGAAAAAAAAAAGAGAAAAAGAAAAAGAAAACAAAGUAAUUUAAAAGGUGUUAUUCAGGCUGGGGAUCCCCAAAGUGCUGGGAUUACAGGCAUGAGCCCCAGGGCAGGCCUAGGAUUUGCAUUACAAGGCUCUGCAUUGUUCCUGAGAACUGGAGAGAAUGCUCAAUCU